UGUUGAUGGCGACCGGCGCACGGGUGAGUAACGCGUAUCCAACCUGCCCUUUACUAUGGGACAGCCCGUCGAAAGGCGGAUUAAUACCGUAUGUUGUCGUGUUGAUGCAUAUUUUCAUGACCAAAGGCUUCGGCCGGUAAAGGAUGGGGAUGCGUCUGAUUAGCUUGCCGGCGGGGUAACGGCCCACCGGGGCGACGAUCAGUAGGGGUUCUGAGAGGAAGGUCCCCCACAUUGGAACUGAGACACGGUCCAAACUCCUACGGAAGGCAGCAG
rnacentral:rRNA from 1 species